rnacentral:rRNA from 1 species
AGCGAACGCUGGCGGCAGGCCUAACACAUGCAAGUCGAACGAACCUUUCGGGGUUAGUGGCGGACGGGUGAGUAACACGUUGGAACGUGCCUUUAGGUUCUGAAUAACUCAGUGAAACUUGUGCUAAUACCUAAUGUGCCCUUCGGGGGAAAGAUUUCUCGCCUUUAGAGCGGCCGGCGUCUGAUUAGCUAGUUGGUUGAGGUAAUGGCUCACCAAGGCGACGAUCAGUAGCUGGUCUGAGAGGAGGAUCAGCCACAUUGGGACUGAGACACGGCCCAAAAUCCUACGGGAGGCAGCAGAGGGGAAUCUUGCGCAAUGAGCGAAAGCCUGACGCAGCCAUGCCGGGUGAAUGAUGAAGGUCGUAGGAUUGUAAAAUUCUUUCACCGGGGACGAUAAUGACGGUACCCGGAGAAGAAGCCCCGGCUAACUUCGUG